rnacentral:rRNA from 1 species
GACGAACGCUGGCGGCGGGCCUAACACAUGCAAGUCUAAGGAGAAUUUCGGAGUAAUCUGAAAGGACACUGGCGCACGGGUGAGUAACGCGUAGGUAACCUACCUUCUGCUGGGGGAUAACAUCGGGAAACCGGUGCUAAUACCGCAUAAUGCAGCGGUCACGCAUGUGACAGUUGUUAAAGAAUUUCGGCAGAAGAUGGGCCUGCGUGUCAUUAGUUAGUUGGUAAGGUAACGGCUUACCAAGACGAUGAUGACUAGGGGGUCUGAGAGGAUGAUCCCCCACACUGGAACUGAGACACGGUCCAGACUCCUACGGGAGGCAGCAGUGAGGAAUCUUGCGCAAUGGGGGAAACCCUGACGCAGCCACGCCGCGUGCCAGAUGAAGGCCCUACGGGUCGUAAAUGGCUUUUGGUCGGGAAGAUAAGCCGGGUUUCGACCUGGUGUGACGGUACCGACUGAAUAAGCACCGGCUAACUCCG